CCUGCCACUGCCCCAUGGCCUCCACAGUGGGCCUUUGUAGAGAUCUAUAUAGAAAAGGAAUAUGUCCAGAAAUGGAGAGCAAGCUUAUGACCAUGCUUGUGAAUCAGGAAAAUGGGGUUCUAAGAUACCCUUAAUUCAAGGGUCCUCAAGACCAGUCUGGAAAACAUAGGGGCAGGCCUCUUGAGAGAGGGGGAUGUGUGGGAACAUAGCUCUGUUAUAGAGAGAUACACAGCAUGCCCAAAGCUUGAUCCACAAUAGUCCAUAAACCAGACAUAACAAUGUAUAUCUAUAAUCCCAGUACUAUAAAGGUAGGAAGAUUAGAUGUUCAAACUCAUUCCUCAUAGUGACUUGGAAGCUAGCCUAGGUUAUAUGAGGACAGGGGGUGGUGGGGAGAAAGAGAGAGAGAAAGAGAGAGAGAGAGAGAGAGAGAGAGAGAGAGAGAGAUUCUGUUUACCUAAUUUAGGUGCCCCGCCCUCACCCUGUCCUCUAUCUCUUUCCCUGAAUUAAAAGCUGCACGGCUACAGAGAACUGGGUCUGAUUUGGAAACAGCUCUGCCAAGAGCUAGCACAGGAUGGGCAGUCCUCAUUCAAGUAAUGAAGGCAGUAAUGAAGGCACAUAAAGGCUGAGAUCAUGGGUAGAAAAGGGCUCAUGAAUGCCACAAGGUACCCAUGGCCUCCUCUUCUCCAAACCCUCGAGGUGCCUCCCCCUAGCAAGCCCCCUGGGUUGGGCAGCACUAGAAUGAGGGCUGAUGGGAACAUCUUUCCACCCUCUCUAACAUUAGGUAUGGGAUGAAGAUGAGGGGUGCCUCAGCCUCUGUCCUCUCAGCCCCAGAGCUCACUGUUCUGAACCGCACCCUGCCUUGCUGAGCUGCACGUCUCUGGUGCUGCUUGGAGAAGACUCACACCGAGGCAGAGCAGAACCAAGAGAGGGCAGGGACAGUGCCAGGAGGAAGCCCUGAGCAUGUGUCAAUACUGAGCCAAGACAGGAGGUUAUUUUUAGAGGCAGCCUGGUGGGGUAGCCGUCUGUUCUGUUGUGCUCUGACAGGGAGAUGCCCUCAGGAGGAGAGAGGAACGUCAUGGCCUAACCCUCAGAUUCUCUGGGCCUCCUCUGAGUCUGACAGAGCUGGUUUCCUCCAGGGAGCCAACCUGCUGACGGUUCCUUAGUCUCAAUUUUGUGAGCAUAGAAGCAGGAUAGAAGGAGAGAGUCACUAAGGGUCUUGAACAGCCUCUGUGCGCCAGGUGUCUUACACACGUCUCUCAUGUAAUUAAUUCUCCCAGAGAGAGAGAGAGAGAGAGAGAGAGAGAGAGAGAGAGAGAGAGAGAGAGUAUGUAACUUGCCCAGGAUCACCCAGCUUGUGAACGGCAAUGCCAGAACUUUAACCCAAAUCCCUCCCUCCCUUCACUCCGUGCUGAUUCAUGAAAACACGUCAUCCCUGCCUACAGGAGGACCCUGAAGACUCUGGUCUGGCCACAGCUCCUCCUUCAUUCCUGUGACGUUUGGACCCAACCUUCCCCUGAGCCUUGCAGACUCCUUGAGUGAGUCAGCUCUGGCUCCAGGCUACCUACUGAAGACAAUGGACGUUUACUGUCUACUGUAAAUCAGGCCCCAGGCUCUGCUCGACCCUGUAAUCGACACAGGAAGUAGUGGAAAGGCAGCCUCACACACUGGGGGCUCCAGAUACGCUCUGUCCUCUGUGCUCCAGGCUGCACCCCUAUUUUUCCUCAUUCAUUCAGCCCCCAAGGCCAACACUUAUGACCCCACAGAUGAGGAAAACAAGGGCUAGGAGAGCUCUUGGCCUGGACCCCAGCCCACUUGUGUGCCUAGGUAAACUUCUCUUCCUUCCCUGGUAUUUUUCAGUCAAAUUCUUCCGGCCUCAGGAGUGCCAUGGGCCUAAGAGGCCUUAGAGACCCUCCCAAGCACAGCACCUUUGGGCCCUGGCUUACAAGCCAGGGCCCUGAGCCCUUUACCUUUGUUGUUUGGAAUGAGAGUGGAUGGAGAAGUCUACAGACUGCACUCUGACAAACAGCAACUGCUGCUCAUUUACAGUACCCUCGUCUGCUCCAGCCCUCCACAGAGGCCCUCUACCCUGAGCUGGGAAGUCCAGAAGGCAGGACCAGGAUCGGGGGUGUUCUCCUGGUAGCUUUAUCUCUCUGGAAGCCAGGACAUUCAAGGCCAGAGUUCAAGCCCAGGGAGAAGUUAAGAGACUCAACUACAUGAAAGAGAAAUACACGUUGGAAAAUGCAGGAAUCCAGUCUUUCAUCAGAAGCUGAAGUCAAGGGAAGGCCUAUGGGUUGGAGAAAACAGAGUGGGUUAUAGAGGAAGAGCUUGGAUGGGAGCCCAGAGCUCAGGGCCCUGUCCCUCUGACCCCCUGCAGGACUUUGACUGAGGUUGGGGUCUAUCCCUGUGGGGCUCACUCCACAUGAGGGAAGGGUCCCUCAAGCAUCCUCUUAGUUCUUCAAAGUAGUAGAUAAAGGCCAGUCCUCCUUCGGGCUGUCACAGGGGCCCUAACAACAAGGCAGCCUGUGUUAGAACCCGUGAGGGUUGAGCAGGGGGUGGGCAGUGUGUGUAUACAGUCAGACACUAUACACUACAAUCCCUUAGACUCACCAUCUCAUGUCUUCCCAACCCUCAGCACAACUGGAUGAAUGGCUGCUUUUCGAGAGCAGGUUUUGUUUUUGUUUUGUUUUGUUUUGUUGUUUUUUGUUUGUUUUUUACAAAAAGGAAAAAAAGGAGAAGUUGCAAUAGGAAAGGAAGAGAUUACAGAAAGAAGAAAACCAGCUAACGGAGAUGGAUUCACAAUAAGGGACUGAUGGUCCGUUCCCUGGCGGCAAAGGAGUUGGCGAUAAUGGAGCCAGGAGAGCUACUGUGUGCCCUCAAUAUUGUCUCAGGCCGUCACGGGAGGGGUGGGGAGGAAAGGAGGCCGAGCCCAGGAGAGCAGGUAAGUGGACAGAUGGGAAGAUAGAAGGAACUAGAUUUGAACCUCCAACAGGCAGACCCUUUCCAGUCUAUGUGACCUGGGACACUGCUGCCUCCUGGCCUCUAACCCCCUCCCUAGCACCCUAGUCAGUCCUUCCAGGGAGACUUGGAAAGAACAGAGGACGCAAGCCACAGACUCAACCCUGCUCGCUCCACCCCAACCCCUGCAGGACUUUUGCUCAGGCUCCUGUUACCUGAAAGAUUCUGCAUUCCUCUUUUUUAUUUUUUUUCUUGAGCUCGCCUGUUUGUUUUGCCUCCUUUGGCAGUCAGCUCACACCACCCCUGACAGGCAGCAGCGUUCCCCAAGCAGAACAAACAGGUCCAACACCCUUGCUCUAGUAACAUGAUUUCUAAGCUCCAUCAUUGUGCCUGGCCCUGUGGCCAAGGCUGGCAGGAACAACGGGGCUUAGCCAAAGAUCGCCCAUAAGCACACCUGUGGCUCAACAAAGGUGUGUGUAGCGGGGUGGGGGUGGCUGUCAUACAAAAAAGCACGAGUGUGGUAGGAGACAGUGUGGUGUCUCCAUGCUACCCCACCAGCAUCCUGCAAGGACAAGAGUUAAGGAAGCAGAGGCUGCUCCACAUGGGAGGGCGGUCAUGAGUCUUAUCCAGGAGGCAGCAUCUAUCCAGGUCAGGGUUUUGAUCUGGAAGGAAGCUGUGGACCCGGAUACCAACCAGGAUUGGGAUUGGGUGGCGCUCUCUACAGAGGACAUUCUUGCUUGUUGUCUUCGUUCAGACACGAUUACUGAGCCAUCUUGUCUGUGUCUUGCUUGUGGCCUGACAGUUCUGUUCUAGCACACUCUUUUCAGGAGAUCCUACAGCUGGCUGAAAGGACCUGGCCAGUCCCUGUUGUCUGUAGCUGUCUGUGUCCUCCAGAACAGGGGUUAAAGCCUGACACACAGCAGACUGGCCACUGUGACCUUACCUGCCCAAGAGGUUGCAGCGUGCAGGGUAAAAGUGCAGGCUCUGGGAAGGAUUAACCUUAUCUCCAGCUCCUUCCACCCUGGACGUGCGUUGGCCUGGAGGUUCACAAGCUGUUCAAAAUCUUAAGGCCUCAAGAGACAGGAAGAGAAAGGACUCAGAGCACAGCAGAAGCCAGAAGCCAGAAGCCCAACCCAGGCAGGCGGGCUAGCAGGACUGCUAUUUAUCCUGAGGACAGCCCUGACCUUUCCCCAACAGGGACAGAUGCGGGGAGCCUGGCUACAUCCUUCCCUUUAAAACAAGAAAUGGAAGCAUUACUCACAAAGCCCAGCCAUUUAUCAUGGUCUGGGGACAUUAAUUUGACAGUGUGUCAUUUUCCAUUUGGUUCGGGCCCGGUGGAGGUUGCCCUCGAAACACCUUCAAUUAAAUGCAGCUAAUAGCACAGAGCUAUUUUGAGCAAGGAGGGCCUCUGCCUCCCCCCAGGGCUGUGGCAUGUGUGUGCUGGGGGAAGGGGGUACUGCUGGGAAGUGUGGUUCAGGGUGAUCCAGGGUCGGAUGGCUCUCGGGCUCCAUAUGCAGACAGAGUGCACACAGGGCGGACAGGGUGAAGAAGUACCCCCUUUGUCUUUUGGAUGUCCCCACAAGCAGUUGGGCCGCACUGUGACCCUAGACAUAGGAAGGGGGUGAACCAGUCCUUUGCCCAGCAUGGAGAAAGUAUGGCAUUUAGAGUGUUGAAUGCUGGCAAGCCGAUCUAGCUGCUCUGUCUCCUAAGGUGUGACCUUAGAUAGGGCCCAUAACUGCUUUGAGCCUCAGUUUCUUUUGUCAACUGGAGACAACUUCUUGCACAGAACAGUUGGAUGGUUUCUAUGGCCUUGUAAACACAUGCCAAACAACACACACCAGAGAUGCGUUCAUUUACAGGGGAUGACUCAAUAGCUUUGCUUACAUCCUGAAUUUUACAAAUGAGGGAAAGGCCAGUACAUCCCGCACACCUGGGUCUCCUCCUUCAUUGGAACUCAGGAAGGACAGAGUGGUUCAGGGUGAGCCUUGAGCUCUAGAGGGUAGAACCUAGAUUGCAGUCCCAGCUUGACCACCUCUGUGGUCUGGGGCAAUCCACUUAACGUCUCUGUACCUCAGUGCCCUGGCCUGGGAGAUGGAGAUCAGCCUGCCAACACUCCCUGGCCACAGUGAUUGGAUGAGAGACUAUGAAUGAAUGCCAGCAGCAAGUCGACCUGUUCAUCAUGGCUGCUGUUCUUUUCCUCACCUUAGCCCUGGGCCUAGAGGACAUUGCUGAUGUCACCAAUUACCUCAUUUCAGCCACGGACUCGGCGUUAAGUAUGGAGGACUGUUCUAUCCUCGUGGUGUUAGAAGGCAGGUGGUGUUAGAACCUGGGUCCCUCUGAGAUCUGUUGUUUCUACUUUCAAAAAUGACUGUAGGGCUGGAGAGAUGGCUCAGCGGUUAAGAGCACCCGACUGCUCUUCCAGAGGUCAUGAGUUCAAU
rnacentral:sRNA from 1 species